rnacentral:lncRNA from 1 species
CUAUUCUCUGCAACAGCAUUUCCAAUGUGGAUUCAUCCGACAUACUCUUCCAAAAACAAAUAAUUUUUUUUUUUCGUAUGCUUCAGUAACUCCACUUCUGGUUAUAUAUCUAAAGGAAAUAAAGUCAGUGUAUUGAAGCGAUAUUUACACUGCCAUAUUCAUUACAGCACUAUUCACAACAGCCAGUUAUGGACUCAACCUAAGUGCUCAUCAGUAGAUGACUGGAUAAAGAAAAUGUGGCAUAUAUACACAAUGGAAUACUAUUCAACCUUUUAAAAAAGUGAAGUCCUAUCAUUUGCAGCAACAUGGAUGGAACUGGAGGUCAUUAUAUUAAGUGAAAUAAGUCAGGCACGGAAAGUCUAAUAUUGCAUGAUUUUACAUAUAUGUGGAAUAUGAAAAAGUAGAACUCAUAGAAGCAGAGAGUAAAAUGGUGGUUACAAGGGGCUGGGAUGGAGGGAGGAGGAUGAGGAGAUGUUGAAACAAAGUUUCAGUUACAUGGGAGGAAUAAGUUCUGGACAUCUACUGGAUAGCAUAGUGAUGAGGUAAUAAUAAUAAAUAUUUGAAAAUUGCUACGUGAGUAUAUACAUAUGUAUACACUGUAUAUAUACUUCUUUUUAAUAUACAGAUAAAAAAUCAGAAAAAGAAGAGGUUUCUCUAUGUUUACCAGGCUGGUCUCAAGCUCCUGUCCUCAAGUGAUCAAGUGAUCCUCCUGCCUCAGCCUCUGAAAGUGUUGGUAUUACAGCAUGAGCCACUGUGCCUGGCCCUCAAUAUUCAUCAAUCCACUAUAAUUUUGGAGCUUACCACUACACUGAACAUAAUGUGGCCAAGAACCAACUGAACUUUAUAUUGCAAACACCAACAGGACAUUCUUGAGACCUUAUUUUACUUGAUCUUUCUGCAGUGUUCAAGGCUACUGGCCACACUACUCCUUUUUAAAAACUGUGUUUCCUUGAUUUCUAAAAUACCACUGUCUCCCACUUCCACUGGUUUAAAGUUUCAGACUGCUUAUUUGAUACCUACUUCAUAGAGUCUUUACUGUCUGGUUAUACUGGUUUGUCUGAGGUUAAUCUUUAGCUCGUUUUUCUUCUACAUGUACAUACUCUCUCUGACUGAUCUUAUUCAUGCAGUUUCAUUUUUACCUGUAUGCAAAUGAUUCCCAACAUCAAUUGUACAGACUUCUUUCUUGAGCUCCAGAUCCAUGUAUGGCAGAAUAAAAUGUUUGAAUGUGAUAGUAUUUACAGACUCCUCUCAUUCA